rnacentral:lncRNA from 1 species
AAAUCCCAGUAGAAAAAGGAUUAGGAGAUGGUCAUUUCUCCAGUUACCCUCUAGAUGGCGCUGUGGUGCCGCUCAAAUUUCUGUCCUGGUUUUGAUUUUCUUGAGGCGCGGAUAGCGCAGUCAUUUCAAGCAGAACACCUUUUCAGGCAGCCUGUGCUAAAAUGUACGGAAUUUUCUGCUCUUUUCCCUUCUUUCCUCUUCUUCUCACUCGAAUUUUUUAAAAAGGAACAAAUUGUAGCUUAAAAGAAAUAAAUUGGAAAGGUUCUGAAGGGGCUGGAUUCUCUGAGAAACAGUUUGAAUUGUCUGCUGUUUGAGAACGGAGAAUAAGCAGGAUUCACGUCCAGGGGGUUGGACGAUCCCGGCGGGGUGCUGAGGGGAGAGCACUGGAGCCCCACCCACCCGGACUCCCUUGAGGGUCUUGUGAUUUAGAGCCCAGGGUAGCCUGAUCAGGAGGCAUUGGCAUUGGGGGAAAAAAGUCCCUAAAAAGUUUCAUUCCAAUUUGUCACUUUUUACAAAAUGUCGUCUUUUCUCUGAGGACAAGCUUCUGCAAACGCAGAAAUUAAGGGUUUGUCAGAAGGCGGCCAAAGUGAGCAGGUGUGUGCUGUUGAUAGCGACUGCGCGUUUAGGGAGGCAGCUCCGGGCCCGGGGCCGAGGGGGAACUGAGCCUGCGCCCACGGGGGCGGGGGCGGGUCCACUGUGGCGUGGUGGAAAGGAGAGAGCGGAGGGCAAUUGCGAGCCUGAGGAGGAGCGUCCUCAAAAUCAAGCGUUUCUGAAGCCCGGGACAGAUGCUUUCUGUGUUGUUCUAAAACACGCUUGUCAGGAGGAGAAUCCUCGGUUCAGAAGAGCUGAGGAGAGGCCACAGUUGAACUCAGACACCAGGAGAGAGAGGCUUUGAAUCUGCCUGAAAGCCAUCCUAUUUUUUGCUGACAAUGUGCAGGUACAUUGCUUUUGCUGUGGACCCCAGCCUUUUGCCAGCCAUGUGUAUAUCCCACCUAGGCUCCUCAUGCCUUGCUUCUAGUGGCUUUUGAGUCUGUGCUAACAUGAGAGAUCUUCUAACAUAAUAAUUAAGAGAAUGGGUUUAGAGCCAUGCAGACCUGUGUUUAAAGACAUCUGUGCUCCACCAUUUAGCACAGAGAUUGCCACUGAUAUAAAUACUUGAUGCUUUCUCAGCAUGACUGGAAUACGGUCCAAGGAACUGAGCCUCUGCUGAGUGCAAUAAUAAGUAAGUCAUUCAGUGGAGCCCUAGCUGUUAUUGGAUGUGGAUUUUGCAAAACCACAAGUGGAACUUCAGGCAACACAUGGUCCUAAUGUUUCCCCUAGAAGGACAUGGAUAUUCCAAUGGAAUGACACGUCCAGCUUUGAAUUCCUGCCACGCAGUUAGCAGUGUCCAAAGAAUCAGUGACAACAGAGAGAAGACUGAGAUAGCAGGAAGCUAUGUGAAGAAACUCUUCCUUCAACUGUACUCUAAUGUGUUAGAAAAUUCUUGAAAAGACUUGGGAUGAGAGUUGUCUAAAUAAUCAUCAGCUCUAGUUUGGCAUCAUUAGCAAUUUGUCUGUGAACUUUGUGGACCUUAACUGAGGAAUAUAAGAGUGAAAGACGUUUGGAGCUGAAUUAUUGGAUUGCCAUUGUUUGACCUACCUGCCAUCCAUGAACCUCUCCUAUUAAGAUCUUCAGAAUGGAAAUUUAACUUCAUCAUCAUCCUGCAAUGUUUCAUUCAUGACAGUGUCACGUAUGGACAAAUGUAAGUCUCCACUUGAGUUUCUGUGAUACAGGAUCCUCUUAGCCAGCAGUGACAAAGAUGUAAGUGAAAGUAGUGGAACCUACAAAUUCAUCACUGUGCAUCAGACUAUAUUUACCAUAAGAUAUAACUGGAAAAUGCCUUCAAACUGAUGCUAGAUUUUACAGAUUGCUGCUUGCCCCAACCCAAGGGUUUUGAGCUGUGGAUCACUUACCUAGAAAAAUUCUAUCAAUCAAAGUUAAAGAUGGCAGGACACUGCAUGGCUGGGAUUGGAAGACCUCAGAGGCUUCUUGUUAAACAUAUGGGAUUUUUCAACAUGAAAAUCCACUUGUUACAAGUGUUAUAUAACUGCAUAUUAAGGCUGAGAGAUGUCCUCCUGGAGACUGGACCUGAGACUGGGUUCACAUCAGUAAAGUUAGAAAAAGCCUAAAUGCAGAAGCAUUUUUCAGAGACUUGAAACUAGAGGCCAUGUAUGGGUCAUCAGCAGGAACAGUGGAUUCUGUUCUAAAAUGUUGCUGCUUUAUAAAAACAAUGAGAACCGUGGGGAAAAAAAUGCUCAAAUCAACUUUUUAAAAACUCCAUGUGUAACUGAAAGCUUGUAAAAAUCAGAGACAACUUAGUUCAAGAAAAACUGUUGAAUCUUGGUAAGAAAAUUUUAUUUCCAUUCCCUCAUCCCAGCUCUGAAAUAACCUUGACAAACCAUUGGCUUUUCAAUUAUGGUGAAAAACAGCAGCCUAGCAGCCACCGGAGGUAAUAUAACAAGUUAGAGCUCCCUAAAAGCAUCAUUUUCAGAGAAUUGUCGUUACUUAACCUGUCUGGCAUUUACCUGGAAAUCUUCAUCCUAAGGCUUGUCUUUAUUUGACCUAAUUCAGAGCUUAGUCACUACAAACAUCUUCUGUCUGAGUGUAUUUGUCAACAACAACAACAAAAGUAGCAGUCUCCUUAAUAUUGCAACUUCCCGUGGCAGUGAUAACAAUUAGGGUUAACAAAAACUUCCUAAAAGAUGUAAAAGGAAAAUACUGAGAUUGAGAUGUCCAUGGAGAGCUUUGGAAAGCUCUAAUAUAUUUCAGGGAAUCAAGAAGGCCACACAGGUGUCAAGGACUGUGCCCAUGUCCAAGGCUGUUUAUAUUCCCAGGAAAGAAGUAAGCAUAUCCUAAACUCUCACUUCUCAUUGACCUUGAGGCUCUAGGCAAGCAGAAAGUGAAGACUGAAACAGAAGUGUAGACUACCUGUCUGAGCAUUGCACGUGUGCCAUAGGACACACACAGUCCCACAACAAAGAAUGGAGAAUUUAUUGGUGCCAGUUAUUUAAGGGCAAAGUUGAUGAAUUGGACUUUAUUGAAAUGAAAUCUUCUGUUCUCAAGACACUGGAAAAUAAGCUAGAGACUGGAAGAAAAUAUUUGCAGAUCACACAUAUGAGAAAGAACAUGUAUCUAGAAUAUAUAAAAACACUCAAAACUCAAUAAGAAAGAAGCCCACUCAAUAAUAAAUGAAUGAAAUUUUUGAACACUUUACCAAAGAAGACUUAUGGAUGGCAAGUAGGCAGUUGAGGAAUGAAUAAACAAGCUGUUGUGCAUCCAUAUAGUGGCAUACUUCUAAGCAACAAAAAGAAAUGUACUAUUAUUAUUACAUGUGAUGGCAUGAGUAAAUCUCAAGUGUGUUGCUCUGUGUGAAGAGUCUGAUUUUAUAUAUUGUAGAAUUUCAUUUAAAAGACGUUCUU